rnacentral:rRNA from 1 species
AUUGAACGCUGGCGGCAGGCCUAACACAUGCAAGUCGAGCGAGCGGCGGACGGGUGAGACAUGUCUGGGAAACUGCCUGAUGGAGGGGGAUAACUACUGGAAACGGUAGCGAAUACCGCAUACCAUCAGAUGUGCCCAGAUGGGAUUAGAUAGUAGGUGGGGGAACGGCUCACAUAGUCGACGAUCCCCAGCUGGUCUGAGAGGAUGACCAGCCACACUGGAACGGAGACACGGUCCAGACUCCUACGGGAGGCAGCAGUGGGUAAUAUUGCACAAGGGGCGCAAGCCUGAUGCAGCCAUGCCGCGUGUGUGAAGAAGGCCUUCGGGUUGUAAAGCACUUUCAGCGGGGAGGCGUUACCCGCAGAAGAAGCACCGGCUAACUCCGUGCCAGCCGCCGCGGUAAUUC